AUCUCUAUCUGCCCUGCUCGGCUUCACCUCAUCUUAGGCAUCAUCCUGAAACUCGACCCUGUUCUUUUCCUUCUUUGUCUUUUCCACCAGAACCACUGCCAACAUGUGAUUUCACUUAUCUUACAGACUAAUGGUCAUCUCCCAGUCUCUUCCCUUUCCCUCUCUCUCCUCACCGUGGCAGAGCUUGAUGAAGGAAGGAAUCUGUAUGUUUCGCCUAAGUUUCAAAUUCCUCGUCUCGAAAAAAAAAACGUGGAGAUGUGGUCUGCUACACACACCUACACAAAAAUGCUGCCGUGAAGAAAUGCAAACCAAGCAAUGCGUUCAAAGAGAGGUUUCUGUUUAUUUCAUGAUGUUUGUUUGUCUCAUUUGCAGCACAGACAAACUGCUGCAGUGAUUCUCAUGCUGAGUAUUGAAAACAGAAGACUUCAUAUGUAGUGGUCCCUGAAGGCAGCAUCCUCCUGUUUCCACCAAAAGCUAAUGAGGGUCUGGAGCUCUCUUCAAGUUACAGUAACGCUCAUCAGAGAAUCCCACUGCGCUCUGGUCUUCCUCCGUCAUCUCCUCUCGUCUCAUCGGGGCGUUUAUGAGGCACUGAGGCGCAGUCCUACAUCUGCGGCAGCCAUCAUCUCGUGAAGGAGGGUCAAAAGAUCCAGAGACUGUUUUGGAACGAUCCGUGAAAAGGAACGGCUGUGAUGUGGGAUUCAGAAAUGUAAUGUGAUCUAUUCUCGAGAUGGGAACUUCACGUUACGAGCAAACGCCGGGCAAAAUGUGUUGUUUAUCUCCCCGAACGCGUUCAAGUGAAGGGAAAUCUCAGCGGGAGGAGGAAGACGCUGUUGGCUGAAACAAUUCAUCCCAAGAGAGAGUGAACAGACAGCCAAACAAGACGUGGAGCCAAAGGUUCCUUCAUUGGAGCCAAGAGAGUUUCAGAGUCCCCAAAGAGACGGGUUUACAAACAAGCGUAGAACAAAGCAUAAAGACACUCUCCAAGUUAUCAUUUUAGGGAAUUUUAUGGAUCGGUUUUCUGAUUUUCCGAUCAAAUCGAUCUAAUAGCUGAUCUGCUCUGGUCACAUCUGUGUUUUUUCUAUUAUUUCCUAAUACAACUUGCAUCAGUAGUUCUUUAAAAAACUCUAUCAUAGCGAUGCAAUAUUGGUACUGUAACCCGAAAUCCAAUCCAAACCUUGUGAAUCCGAAUUGACUGAAUAUAAAUCCCUGUUAUGGAGAUAAUGUGUAUUUGGGCCAUCUGGAUUCUCUAAGAGGUGAGCGUUGGGCUCUUUUAAAAGCAAUAAACGUCUCAAAUGUAA